GGCCUACCAAGGCGACGACGGGUAGCCGACCUGAGAGGGUGACCGGCCACACUGGGACUGAGACACGGCCCAGACUCCUACGGGAGGCAGCAGUGGGGAAUAUUGCACAAUGGGCGGAAGCCUGAUGCAGCGACGCCGCGUGAGGGAUGAAGGCCUUCGGGUUGUAAACCUCUUUCAGCAGGGACGAAGCGUAAGUGACGGUACCUGCAGAAGAAGCACCGGCUAACUAUGUGCCAGCAGCCGCGGUAAUACGUAGGGUGCGAGCGUUGUCCGGAAUUACUGGGCGUAAAGAGCUCGUAGGCGGUUUGUCACGUCGUCUGUGAAAUCCUAGGGCUUAACCCUGGACGUGCAGGCGAUACGGGCUGACUUGAGUACUACAGGGGAGACUGGAAUUUCUGGUGUAGCGGUGGAAUGCACAGAUAUCAGGAAGAACACCGAUGGCGAAGGCAGGUCUCUGGGUAGUAACUGACGCUGAGGAGCGAAAGCAUGGGUAGCGAACAGGAUUAGAUACCCUGGUAGUCCAUGCCGUAAACGGUGGGCGCUAGGUGUGG
rnacentral:rRNA from 1 species